GCAGAAGGCCCGCAUCAGCCAAUCGCGUGCGCUGCAACCAACGUGGGGCGCUGACGCGCUCCUCCCCGGAGCGUAUGGCAGCGCAGCGCCGGACGGGGCGUUCUCCCUCCCCCCCUCCUCUCGCUUCCAUCUCCGCCGUCUCCUCGGUCUCCCUUCCCAUCCCGGCCCCUCCUCCGCCAGCCGCGUCCUCCCGGGCUUGGUGAGGAACUGUUCCUGGAGGAGCCGCGGGACGCCAAAACCAGCCAAUGGGAAGCGGCGAUUCGCGGAGAUUGGCACUGAUGAUGGGAAGCAAUGAUAAGGAAACUAAACUGGAUUAAGUGCUAUCAUCUUGGAGGUGCAAAGGCAAACAAGGAGAAAGAAGUGAUUGAAGAGCACUUCAGAAAGCUUGGUACAUUCAAAUCAGCAGGGCUUGAUUACUCGCAUCCCAGGACACUUAAGGAAUUGGCAAAUAUAAUUGCAAGACCACCAGCCUUUAUUUUAGAAAAUGAAGGUUGGACAGAAGAAGGUCCUGACAAGUAAAAUCAGCAGAUGGAGUACCUGUUUUUUAAAAGAGGGAAAAGGACAGCUGUAGUAAUUAUAGACUAUUCAGUUUAUCUUGGAUACCUGGGAAGAUACAAGAGCAAAUCAUCAAACAAUCAAUUUGCAACCACCUAGAAGAGUACAAGCUACUGGGUCGUAAUCAACGUGAUUUUGUGAAGUGCAAAUUAUGCCACACCAAUUUAAUUUUAUCUAUGAUAGAGUGAUGAGCCUGGCAGAAGAGGGGAAAGCAAUAUCUACAACUGGACUUCAAUAAGGAAUAUUGAUCUCAGCGUUACUUUGACCAUUAAUGAAUUAUGAUGGCAAUAAGCAAAGAUUCGCACCUCUAGCCUCCGGGGAGCUUAAUCUUCUGCUACAACAUUUGCAUUUGGUGUCUCUCUACUGCUCAGGCUGGAGUGCAGUGGUGCGAUCAUAGCUCACUGCAGCCUCGACUUCCUGGGCUCAGGUGACCCUCUCGCCUGAAACCAUAUUCCCCCUCAAGUAGCUGAGACUACAGUUGCAGCAGCCUAGGAGGAAAGCAGCAGAGAAAGACAACCUGUGACCCUACUGAGCUGCAGGCAGAAGAAUCUUCUUUGUACUGCUCGAGGUCAAGAAUGUGUUUACCCCCUGGCCUAAUGCUCUGAACUUUUGCAUCUGAGUGCAGGACUUCAGGACCUCUGAAGGCCACCACGCAGUGGAAUGAAGCUCCCUAGCAGAAGCAACUGGAUUAAACGUGCAACAAGACCAGUCCACACCAGCCCCCCAAGUCACUGAACUCAAUGACAUCAUGCCCAGGCAGAGAAAGUCAACAGGCCUCUGGCCCGGGUCCCCUCCACUCCUCUCAUUUCUUCUGCCUCUCGCUGUUCUUAACCCAGGGACAGUAUUUAGAAAGCAGAGCGGGUUCAGGCAGCCCUCUCAAUUACUUUGGCUGGAACCUUCCUGAGUACAUUUUGCUAUCUCUUUGUGAUGUAAACAGGGGCAUUCACAGUUGGCAGGGGAUGCUCUUUCUGUUUUAAUUACACAUGGCAUAAUUAUAGUCCCAGGGUCUGGAAACAGCACAAAGUUCUUUGGAGAACUUCAUAGGGAUUUUUCUGUUAUGACAUAGUUUAUCAGGAGAAAAAAAAGUAAGGCAAAAGACAUUUCCAAAGAGGAACGAACAACACUAUUUAUACUAGCAUUCCAUUCCCUAAUGAGCAGAUCACAAAAUUGGAGUAGACAUUUUUUCUGGAGGCGGGGGUGGAGUUUCAAAAUUUUGGACUCAUGGACAGUGGUGGCAAAAUCUAGAUAAAUACUAAUGAAUGGAUGUGGGUGGAGAAGGAUAUAUACGUAAAUUUUUUUUACUUAAGAAAGCAAUUAGAAGGCAUCCAGCUGUAUCUGAGGGAAUUUGCACGUACCCUGGACCCUGAGGAUAUGGAAAAAGAUUCUACCAUAGUCAUAGUAAUCUGGCCUAAACCUGAGUCGUAAAAUUCUCUCUGCCCCCAGAUGUGCAGUAUGAGGGCACUUCAUUACUCUGCUGAUGUAGUGAGAAAUCGCAGAACUGCCAUGGUAAUGGAGAGUGCAGUGACAGAGAUGGGGAGAGACGGCUGUUUCUCUGUUAUGAAACAUGUUUUCAUAGGUAAUUCUGAUGUACAGUAGGUAUUAAAUAGAGCAACGAAAAGAUGUUUUAUUUUAGAUUACUGCUAGAGUGAUAUUUCCCCCAUGGCACUAAUAAUCUGGCUGCUUUCUAAAGCCUAUUUCCUCUCCCAGUUUCUCAUAGACUCCCAGCACUGUUUUGGCAGAAGGGUAAGCCAUUGCAUUGAAAUUUCUGCCUUGGAAAAGUAGAAGAUCAACUUUAUAUAUUAUGCAUUUUAUAUUUAGACUAGAGGGACAUGGUGCAUUUUUUUCUGGUGGGGAGGAAGAUAUUAAAUAAGUUCUGCUUUUGCAAUGUAGAGAUAGGAAUAUAUAUAGGGGGUAAAAAUAUUUCAAGAACGGCUUUUUGUAAUUGAGUGAUUUUUUUUUUUCUAAGACAGAGUCUUGCUCUGUUGCCCUGGCUGGAGUAUAGUGGCACAAUCUUGGCUCACUGCAACCUCCGCCUCCCAGGUUUGAGCGAUCCUCCUGCCUCGGCCCCCCUAGUAGCUGGGAUUACAGGCACGCACCACCAUGCCCAGCUAAUGUUUGUGUUUUUAGUAGAGACAGGGUUUUGCCAUGUUGGCCAGGCUGGUCUCAAACUCCUGACCUCAGGUGAUCCACCUGACUUACCCUCCCAAAGUGUUGGGAUUAUAGGCGUGAGCCACUGUGCCCAACCUCGAGUGAUCAUUUAAGACACCCCUGUAUGCAUGCAUGCUGGUUUGAAAUCCAGGGGACACACCACUUCAGCCUAGCCUCUCUGCUGUCUGUAUCACGGAGGACUCACAGACCUAGUUUAAUUGUAUGCUUCUUACAUAUUUCAAGGCUGACACAGGAACAGCAAUAAGAGGCCUGUGGUUGAAACCACAUCGUUUUCAUCACAGUGGAAAAAAAAUAAGGUCAUUGCAGGUUUGGAGCAUGGUUAGGUUUGAGCCUGCCCACAUUAUUUUAUUCAUGUUAAAAUAUAAAGAGAUGGCCGGGCGCGGUGGCACACGCCUGUAAUCCCAGCACUUUGGGAGGCCGAGGCGGGCGGAUCACGAGGUCAGGAGAUCGAGACCAUCCCGGCUAAAAAAACGGUGAAACCCCGUCUCUACUAAAAAUACAAAAAUU
rnacentral:lncRNA from 10 species